CUGGGGUAUCGAAGAAUCCAUUCAAUAUUUGAAUAAUCUCCUCAGGCUGUGCAUCCUCGAACUUAUGGCUAAGUUCAUCAUUCAUAGCUGUCCUCAUCACACAAUGCAUAGUCAUGCGAUCAUUGAGCCACUUCACGUAAGUGUCUCUCGUGGCAUGAGGAGCAUUGGCUGUAGGUUCUUCAGGUGCCUCAUCCGUAAGGACAUAUAGAAUCUUCUCGUGCUCCAAGAUGAUCUUCAACUUUCGAUAUCAGCGAUCGAAGUUGGGUCUAGUGAGCUUGUCGCUAUGUAACAGCGAACAGAG
rnacentral:lncRNA from 1 species